rnacentral:tRNA from 1 species
UCCCUUGUAGCUCAGUCAGUAAAGAAUCUGCCUGCAGUGCAGAAGUCCUGGGUUCGAUCCCUGGGUUGGGAA